rnacentral:rRNA from 1 species
CCCGGUAGUUAUAGCGGAGGGGCCACACCCGAUUCCCAUUUCGAAUACGGUAGUUAAGCCCUCCAUCGCCGAUGGUACUGCUUGGGCGACUGAGUGGGAGAGUAGGUAGCUGCCGGGU